ACCCGCAGCCUUUGCCCGCACAUAACCUGCGCCAUAUGGAUAAAGACCCGUUCAACAGGAGUGAAUAUUAUAGACAGGUUCUUUUUAAUUUGGGCGUCCAAGACUUGAGCCAAGGGACGACAAGGAUUUAGGUGUUCUUCGGAGAUGUAUACAGAAAUGCUGCGUGUUGCGGUUGGGUUCCUCAUUUUUUCUGUACACAAGGCAGCAGAAUAUAUUGAUGAGAAGACGGCGAUAUAUACCGGGUCCUGCCCUGUGAAAGCCCCCCCUUAUCAUAUACCAGACACACCCGUGGUGAACGCUGUCAUUCAGGUUCCGUUCGCUGCUUCAGAUCCAGAUAGAGCAGAUAAGACCGU